CUCUAAGCUUUGUGAAUUCAAUCCACCACAGUAGCCCAGAUCCCCAGUAUCUGGCAUCAGUUGGAGCAAUAAUCAUCCCAUCCAGCUGCAAGAGAGUGUGUGCAAUUCUUCAGGAUACAGUUCAUUGUCUGCUUCAUGUAGCUUAUGUUGCAGUGGUGGUUUUAUGGCUCACAAACUGAUCAGCUCCUAUAUCUGAAUGUGAUUACAAUCUGACUCCGGACAUGAGGUUUAGGGUCUGGAAACCUAUGUAUCAAAUCUUUCAAGUGGUGGUCAGGCACAACCUGUGCAAAUUAAUACAGAUACAUAUGCUUGGACUCUAUCUGAAUGCAAUGGCAAUCUGACUCUGGACAUGUAAAUUUGGGUCCUGAUAUCUGUGUUUCAGAUCUUUCGAGUUGUGGUCGGGCACAACCUAGACCAACAUACUGGAACAUGAUCAAACCCAAUUGCCACCCUUAGCAAAAGAAUAUAUUGUAGCCAACUGUUUCUAGCAAAACCAUUGUGUUUCUGUGCUGAAAAUUUGUGUUUCUAUAGCUGAGUUUUGAGGUUACCUGGAAAACUAUGUUGGGUUGACAAUAAGGUCCAGAGAAGGAGAUGGGCCCUACAAGGAACUCAUAUUCUUCAGGAACAACCAUAGUUGAUCCUCCCACCUUGCAAGCGGCAGCCCAUGCAGCCUGGAAAGCCUGCAUUAGCAGUUCAUGAUGUCAGAUCCAUGAGCAUCAACUCCUUGCCCACCAGUUUCAGUAAGCAGAAACAAGGAUCAGAGGAGAAGGCAACAAUGGCCACCUUUGUGUCAUCUGUGACACCGUCUCCCUUGGCUCCGAAAUCAAGCACGUCGAACGUGGCUGCUGCCUUCGUCGUAUACCCUGUUUUCGGCGGCGGGCUUGGCUUGGGGCUCGGAGCGGGACUCUGGUGACCUCCUCCUCCACCGCCAUGGCUGUGGCCACCACCAUGCUUUCCUCUUCCCUUCUUUCUGGCCAAGGAGGAAUAAGAAGGCUUCUUCAGACUCCAAUGUUUUCCUUUCCUCCCCUCACAGCCAUCAAAGUUCGAGCACACCAGAAGAAGGACAAGGAGGAGCAACCCAAAGCAUGUCAGCCUACAUCCAGCCAUCUGAGAGAGGGGAGACAACAAGUGGAUGCUGAGGGGGAAUCAUCCACACAUCUUGUGACAAUCCGUAGGGAUAACUCUAUCCUAUCAGCCUCUGCAAACAUGCACAGCAUCACAGUGAAGAGAUGUUUAGGAUGCAACAUGAGGUGUGUGUGGGAGUGCUUUUUGCUGUAUUCAUAAGUAUUUUAAUUAUGGUACGUAGGUUGUAGUUUGCGGAUGCAAAAGCCAAAGGGGGGCACGUGAAGGGGUCGAAGAGGGGCAGUGACAGUAGCAGCUCCUCCUGAUCACAUGCAGCCGGUCACGGGCGGGAGUAUACUGCUUUGUCCACUAUGGGAGGCAACUGCCAGAUAGAGAAGAGGAGCAAAACAAGAGGGAGAAGGGGCCCCUGCCUUAAUGUUACCUAUCAUUCCUCCAACCAUGGUACCACCAAAGUCUGAUUCACUGCGCUACAAAUUCCAUUUAAGACCGGAGGAGAUGAUGCUGACCGCCAUGAAUGCACAUGAUUUGGAGCCGUCUUCUGGUGCUGUGGAGCUCGUGAAUUCUGCUGGUCUCGUGAAUCUGCAUGCAUUAAAGUAAGUCUUUCAAGGUUUGUUUAUGCUGCAACUUCCCCCCAUGUCUCUAUUUGUUGGCUUUUCUCUUCCUUCGAUAUCUGUUCAAGGGUGAUAACAACAGUAGAAAAUGCAAACUGGAGCAGAGUGGCUUUUGGUGCAACUCGAACUCAAGGAGAGCAAACUUAUAUAGAAUUCAUCAGGCUUUAC